UGGGGAAUAUUGGACAAUGGGCGCAAGCCUGAUCCAGCCAUGCCGCGUGAGUGAUGAAGGCCUUAGGGUUGUAAAGCUCUUUCGCCGACGAAGAUAAUGACGGUAGUCGGAGAAGAAGCCCCGGCUAACUUCGUGCCAGCAGCCGCGGUAAUACGAAGGGGGCUAGCGUUGUUCGGAAUCAACUGGGCGUAAAGCGCACGUAGGCGGAUUGUUAAGUCAGGGGUGAAAGCCUGGAGCUCAACUCCAGAACUGCCCUUGAUACUGGCAAUCUCGAGUCCGGAAGAGGUAAGUGGAACUGCGAGUGUAGAGGUGAAAUUCGUAGAUAUUCGCAAGAACACCAGUGGCGAAGGCGGCUUACUGGUCCGGUACUGACGCUGAGGUGCGAAAGCGUGGGGAACAAAACAGGAUUAGAUACCCUGGUAGUCCACGCCGUAAAACGAUGGAGGCUAGCCGUUGGCGAGCAUGCUCGUCAGUGGCGCAGCUAACGCAUUAAGCCUCCCGCCUGGGGGAGUACGGUCGCAAGAUU
rnacentral:rRNA from 1 species